rnacentral:rRNA from 1 species
GACGAACGCUGGCGGCGUGCUUAACACAUGCAAGUCGAACGGAAAGGCCCUGCUUUUGUGGGGUGCUCGAGUGGCGAACGGGUGAGUAACACGUGUGUAACCUGCCCUUGACUUUGGGAUAACUUCAGGAAACUGGGGCUAAUACCGGAUAGGAGCUCCUGCUGCAUGGUGGGGGUUGGAAAGUGUCGGCGGUUGGGGAUGGACUCGCGGCUUAUCAGCUUGUUGGGGGGGUAGUGGCUUACCAAGGCUUUGAGGGGUAGCCGGCCUGAGAGGGUGACCGGCCACAUGGGGACUGAGAUACGGCCCAGACUCCAACGGGAGGCAGCAGUGGGGAAUAUUGCACAAUGGGCGGAAGCCUGAUGCAGCAACGCCGCGUGCGGGAUGACGGCCUUCGGGUUGUAAACCGCUUUCGCCUGUGACGAAGCGUGAGUGACGGUAAUGAGCAAAGAAGCACCGGCUAACUACGUG